rnacentral:rRNA from 1 species
UAGUGGCGAACGGGUGAGUAACACGUGGGCAAUCUGCCCUUCACUCUGGGACAAGCCCUGGAAACGGGGUCUAAUACCGGAUAAUACUCCUGCCUGCAUGGGCGGGGGUUGAAAGCUCCGGCGGUGAAGGAUGAGCCCGCGGCCUAUCAGCUUGUUGGUGGGGUAAUGGCCCACCAAGGCGACGACGGGUAGCCGGCCUGAGAGGGCGACCGGCCACACUGGGACUGAGACACGGCCCAGACUCCUACGGGAGGCAGCAGUGGGGAAUAUUGCACAAUGGGCGAAAGCCUGAUGCAGCGACGCCGCGUGAGGGAUGACGGCCUUCGGGUUGUAAACCUCUUUCAGCAGGGAAGAAGCGAAAGUGACGGUACCUGCAGAAGAAGCGCCGGCUAACUACGUGCCAGCAGCCGCGGUAAUACGUAGGGCGCAAGCGUUGUCCGGAAUUAUUGGGCGUAAAGAGCUCGUAGGCGGCUUGUCACGUCGGAUGUGAAAGCCCGAGGCU